CACGUAGGGGGCAAGCGUUGUCCGGAUUUAUUGGGCGUAAAGAGCUCGUAGGCGGCUUAGUAAGUCGGGUGUGAAACCUCCAGGCUCAACCUGGAGACGCCACCCGAUACUGCUGUGGCUAGAGUCCGGUAGGGGAGCGUGGAAUUCCUGGUGUAGCGGUGAAAUGCGCAGAUAUCAGGAGGAACACCAGCGGCGAAGGCGGCGCUCUGGGCCGGUACUGACGCUGAGGCGCGAAAGCGUGGGGAGCGAACAGG
rnacentral:rRNA from 1 species